GGAUACGUUCGUUGGGUAGGGGAGCGUUCUGUAAGCCUGUGAAGGUGUGUCGUGAGGCAUGCUGGAGGUAUCAGAAGUGCGAAUGCUGACAUAAGUAACGAUAAAGCGGGUGAAAAGCCCGCUCGCCGGAAGACCAAGGGUUCCUGUCCAACGUUAAUCGGGGCAGGGUGAGUCGACCCCUAAGGCGAGGCCGAAAGGCGUAGUCGAUGGGAAACGGGUUAAUAUUCCCGUACUUGGUGUUACUGCGAAGGGGGGACGGAGAAGGCUAUGUUGGCCGGGCGACGGUUGUCCCGGUUUAAGCGUGUAGGUGUGUGUUCCAGGUAAAUCCGGUU
rnacentral:rRNA from 1 species